GCCCAUUCCAUAUGUCUGAUCACCCUUUCUGUGAAGAAGUUUCUCCUGAUGUCCAGCCUAAACCUCCCCUGGCAGAGAGCAGGGUUAAUGCUGUGUGUCUCAAGGUACCUCUGACUACCCUGAUGCUUUCUAGAGAAUAAUUUAUCUAAUUCAAGCUCCUUAUCUUUAGCUCCAAGGAACCCCAAGGCCUAGCCUGGAAGUCUCAAGGGCUCUAGGAGAAGAGCAGUAGCUGGCAGCCUCUCUGGGGUCUGCCUGAGCUAACAGAAGGAGUCUCCUGAAGCCAGAACCUUUGCCCCCUCUUUCUGAGUGCAAAUCUCCCUUUUCCGUUCUCAUAUUUUCUACUAUAUGGCUACUCUGGGGCAUGCGUAUAUUCCUCCUUAGCUGUCUCCUCCUCCCCAGGUCCUACCAAAUUAUAAAACAUUACCACAUAUGCCAUGCCUCCCCUGGGGGAGAGGGUGAGAGAAAGAGCAAACCGUGUGUGACAGAGGAGAGCCACAUCACUUCACACACUUCUCAGCGACACCAGAUAUGACAGUGAUAGAACUGAACAGGAAGAAAACCAGAAUCUCCAGACUGGCUCACUCUGUGCCAAUCUCCUCUUGUUCAUUUCCUUUCUGAGAUAAACAACCCCAAUCAUUUUGAUCUCUCUUUGUGAGCGAAUUUGCCAUGCCCCUAAUCAGCUCUUUCUGAGAAAGGCUUACUUGAACUGCAGACAGUAUUCCCAGAGAGUCCACGCUAGUGAUUUACAUAAUAGCAUUAUCAUAUUUUCCAUAUUAUUCUCCCCUUCUUCUUUCUGCAUGCUAAUAUUUUGUGUGCUUUUUUUUAACCUGCAGCUACUCACAGUAUCAGGGGUUGUGUGACAUCCAGAUUCUUUCUUGAGUUGCUAGAGAACAUCUGGAGCUUUGUUUUCUGACUUUGCACGUGCCCAGUUAAACCUUGGCAAAUGUGUGGUGUUGCCCAUUUGCCACAUUUGCAUUUUACUCAAUCCUUUCUGAUCUCCUCAAGAGUCAAUAGCUUUGAGUCAUUCUUCAAAAAUGUUUGGUAUAUUGCUCAUCUUUGUUUCCAGAUCAUCAGUUCAUAUACUGGGCAUUCCAGGACCUUGGAGGCAACGUUCAUAUUCCCUACCCUUAACCUGCUGCCAGAAUGAAAAUCAAUCUUUGAACUUUCCUCCCAGCUUCUUGCCUCCUCCUUGGUUUGUUAAUCCACAGAAAUACUUCACUCAACACAACAGGGUUCUGUCACCUCUGGGCAGGUGUGCUGAUGAGCCCAGUCUCCAAAACUCUCAAGUAUGGAUCAAAACUGGAGCAGCUCCAUGUGGCAACCCCCUGAUGUAUUACAAAUGGGAUCUGCUGGAUCAGGCUGCUCAGUGAUGGACUUCCCUUUCUGCCCUCCUUGCUGCCCUGCAGCCAAGGACUGCGGGCCUCCAUAAGUGCCCCCUCCCCAGCCUGGCCCCCUUGGCUUGUGCUUAUUUUGGUGUUUUUCUCCGUUCUUUUCCCCCUCAGGCUGUCUGCCAGCUCCCGGGCCCCUUGCCAGCAGCUGCAUGCGCGUGUUGUGAACUACUCCACCCACAUAAAACUGCCCCAGCCCCUCCAUGGAGGUCACUCUCUGUGCCCACUGCCCGAUGUGGACUCCCCACGCCUACACUGAACGAGUGUUCAACCUGCCCCUCCUGCCUUGUAAGGAGGAGGCCCUAUUUCUUCACUUUUCUCGAGAAAUCGCAAGGAUUAAUGACAUUUGGGCUCCUGCUCUCCAGCUGCAACAAGCCAGGAGGGGCAGAGGGCCAAGGGUGGCCACAUGGCUUCAUUUCCUGAACCCCCAGCAGCUUUGAUGCCGAGUGCAUGUGGAAAGGAAGAUGGAUGGUGAGGGAGGAGAGACCGCUGGUACGCAGCCACCUUUCAAGGAGCAUUCCUGAUUUACAGCCGAGACCCAGAUUUUAGUACAGACAGUAACUAUCCACCCUGGGGAGCCAUGCUCAUGGUAUGUUUUAGACAGGGCAAAGAAGGGAGAAGUCUUAGCCUUCCUGCAGCUGAAGUGGGUCUUUUCAGCUCCCCAGAUUCCAGCCCUGCAGCCCAAGGUGCUCGAACACUGCCAGCAGCAAGUGGUCUGUGUGAUGCAGAGCUGCUGCCCCUGCAAGGGGCUGCACAAGGUCACUGAGGAGGCUCAGUUUUAUUACCCAACAAAUUGAAAUUGCUGCUGUGGUAUUUUUACUAUUGGUCUGUGCCCACUUUCAUUCUUAGCACAACUCAUGUUUCUUCAACCAAAUUUCCCCAUGGUUGGGUUCGUUGGGGAUUUUUCUCGUUACCCCCGACUAAUAAAAUUCCAACCCCAUUUUUCACUUUGCACCAGCUGCAUGCUGCAGGAGAUUUACAGAGCCAUUCAGAGAUCCUGCUUUUGAGAGUGCUGUUAUCCUCCUGCAUCACUCCAACAGCCUCGUGGGCCUUCUACAGUGUAAGUGCCUGCAGAGAUCAGAGAGCUUGCAGCUGGUGGUACCACCUCAGGCUUUCUUGUGCUCCUUCACAUGCUGCAAUGAGGUUCUCCCAGUAUGAACGUGGGACUUUGGUUUGUGUAAGGCGUUAUCUGGACUCCCAGUUUCACAUGGGGUUUGGUCCCUUUUCACAGAUUAUUCUGAGCUGGAAGGGAACUGCAUCCAAUUCUUAAGGGAAUGGCCUGUACAGGGAUUGAACACAUGACCUUGGUGUUAUUGGCACCUCACUCUAACCAACUGAGCUAAUCUCAGGUAGCAAAGAAGGGGGCACCCGGAUUUGAGCCAGGGAUCUCUUGAUCUGCAGUCAAAUGCUCUACCACUGAGCUAUACCCCCCCUUUGUACAGACCUACAACCUGAGAAGGGCACAGCUACUAUAUCCUGCUGCUCCUCUUCUUUUUCCAGGUAAAGGCACCUAUUGCACAUCUUGUCUCAUUAAGUCACGGGUCCUUAGACAGAUUUAUUUCUGCCCCAUUUUGGGAAAUCUACCUGGUUUUGGUUUUGCAGUAGUCUGAUAUUUCACUUCUGGGUAACAGUUUGAGUCAAAUGCUUUAAAAACACUGCGAAGCAAACAGAAAUGGGUAGAUGUUUUCUACCUUCUUUUAUUUUCGUAUGUGUGCCUGGUUCUUAGUAAGUGUCUGAGGGGAAAAAAAAGAAAGAUAUGACUGAUGAUUUGUUGCUCUUUCUUUGGAAAAGGUCCAGACUAUAGAACAGGGCUAAAAUGCCAGGAAAGAGUUUGCUGCAUAGAGGCAGGCUUAUAUUAUUUGAUUUUAUACAUUCCCUGGGUAACAUAUUUUUUUUAAUUUGAGAUCCUGGAGAAGUCAUUUUAGAUCUUUAUUCAACACAGCUUAUUUGCUCCUCUUCUCAGUUUUCCUUAUUUUUAGAAAGGUGAAGCACGUUCCCAAAUUAAAUCAUUUCUGGGAUGGACCUCAGCCAAGAGGAUCCAUGGUUCAAGCCAUAAGGCACAGGAAACAUAAGAGUAGAACAAUGGAGUUUUGUAUUGUGUUUCGUUUGGCAGGGUGAGGAGAGAUAUGGUCUUGAAAGAUUUGCAGUCUUACAUAGCUAUAGUAUAUUUCAAAAGACAGUAAGGACUAUUUUCACUUCUCACUUCGCUUAAAAAAAUUAAGCACACCCAGAAAUGCUAGAAAUGUGGGAUUGCCAGAUUCUCCUUAGUUCCAAGAAAAGGUUUGUGCUUACAGUAACAUCCCAAAUAUUAGCUGAAGUGGGCUGAUCCUCUACCCUUUUGCUGAUGUGCUUGUCCCUGCUGCAGCUACCAAGGCAGAGCUUGCAGCAGCCUGGCCCCAAGCCAGGCUCCUCUCCCUAGCGUCCAUGGAUUAUAUUCCUUAUGUCAGCCUCUCAUUUCAGUGACCCGGAGAUCCUUCUCCAGAUGGGACAGUUUUGCACAGCUCCUCUGAGGUUGUUUUGCAGUGACAGAGCAAAGCCCUGCAAAGCUCGCUCCCAGGUGAAAGUUUGACACACGGUGCCCGUGAGCCACAAGAACAUGUGCCACUGCCAGGGAGCAAGAACGUGCCUCCCUUCUGCCAUGGCUGUGGCCAAAUCCCCUCUGUCACAGUGCUCUGGAAAGCAGGGCAGCCAGUGCCUGCAGCUGCGGGCAUGUGAGCAUGAAGCCAUUUGCUGGUGACGCUCUCUGGGGCUGGGAUGACUCUCCCUGGCUGCUCCAUGGGCUGCCUGCCAGCCAGCUGAGACCUCACUGCUCCCCCAGCUGAGCCACUAAAGCAGCAAGAUUUAAAAACAUAAUAUAAAACUGGACUAAUAAUUAAAAAUUAACUGUCCCUGCUAAACAGCAUAUUAAAAUGUAUCCUUACACAGGGAACAAAUGUCUCCGAGCAACAAAAGCAAACAACCAGCAAGCCAGGGUCUGGUAUCUCCUUUCCAGCUUUCUGAAAGGGUAAGUUUAUAUUGAAGUCACUUUUUUUCCAAGCACCUUGGUGUUUGGAAACAGCACGUCAAUUCCCGUACCAGCUAACCUGCUGCAGGCAUCGACUGAGAGUCAGCUGGAGCCAGACCCUCCAGGAGCCAGGGAUGGAGAGUCCGUCACGGCCUUGGUUCCCAUCAAGCAGUGUCGCAUGGUGCCCGUGAUGAGCACCACAAAUCUCUGAACAACAGUGAGAGCUUCAGGGGAACAACUUAUUUCCAAGGCACGUCACGCCAGAGCUCCUCCACGAUCCAUCGCCCCAUCUGACAUCUGCUGGGGCACUGCAAUUCUGCAAAACACAAGAUUUACGUAGCGUUGGAUGGUUUGCACGCUCCUGGUUCAAUUUGGUGCUUAAGGCUCCAUAUCCACAUCUAGGAUGCAUCUAGAUCCCUUUUGGCAUGUUGAAGGACCCUCUGAGAGAUGGUAUAUAGGGCUGGUGGUGGAGCCACAUGCUCCCUGCACUCUGCUGACCAUCAGCACUGCUCCUGCAAAUGAGGGUCUCCACAGCAGACUGUUUGCCCAAGAGUCAACCCUUCUCUCAAAGACUCCUGCAGCAAAAGCUUGUGCUUUCUGGGGAAAAAUGUCCUGGGUUCAGUCAAUGCCUUCUUUUAAAACCUUGCAAGAAACUAAAGAAAUGCCAUUUAGGUUACUUCUUAAAAUAAUAUAAAUAUCAGUGAAGAUUUUGUGUUGGAAGCAAUUAAAAUAACGUGGGAGAACCUU